CUGGGUUGGAUGAGUGGCGAACGGGUGAGUAACACGUGAGUAACCUGCCCUCUUCUUUGGGAUAACGGUCGGAAACGGCUGCUAGUACCGGGUAUUCACUGUCCUUCGCAUGGGGGGUGGGUGGAAAGGUUUUUUCUGGUGGGGGAUGGGCUCGCGGCCUAUCAGCUUGUUGGUGGGGUGAUGGCUUACCAAGGCUUUGACGGGUAACCGGCCUGAGAGGGUGACCGGUCACAUUGGGACUGAGAUACGGCCCAG
rnacentral:rRNA from 1 species